GCGGAUGUAGCCAAGUGGAUCAAGGCAGUGGAUUGUGAAUUCACCAUGCGCGGGUUCAAUUCCCGUCGUUCGCCC
rnacentral:tRNA from 3 species